rnacentral:lncRNA from 1 species
GUCAGCCCUAUCCUCUUGUCUGGAGAACAGGAAUGAGUUCUCUGGGGACUCUGGCCACCCCAACCAAAUGGAUCAAUUUGAUUCCCAUCAGAAAAGUACACAGAACACAUACUCUGAGUUUACAAAGAAGUUUUAGUUUCCUGCACUGAAAUGUGGAUAGACGGCCAAAGAUCAUUAGGUAUCUGAAGAAAGCCUCUAGUGUGAGAGACAGAGAUCAGAUACAAUAAUAUAAAAAAGCAAAUUAGAACAGUUUUUACAAGAAGAACAAGACUUCAAAUAAGUAAUUAUCAAUAAACAUCUUUAGAGAAAUUUUUAAAAGGAAACUUUGUAAUUAUGAAGCAAGAAAAGGAACUUAGAAGAAAAAGAAGCAUUCAUAGGACAAAAGAACAUUUAAAAAUUACUCAUGAAAAAACUCAAUAGAAGUUUGAAAGAUAUAUUUGGAUGCCUACUGGAUGCAGAAACCUCUCAGAAAACAAGGCAGAAUAAAAAGGAAAUGAAUAACAGGAAGAUAAAUUCAAAAUAUUAGAAAAACAAUCCAGAAAUUAUAAUAGGUACCUAAAAUGUACGUCAUAAUGAUUGAGAAAAGAAUCAUCAACAAAAUUAUUGAAAUCCUCAGAUAUGCAGGACAGGAGUGUCCAGAAUAAAAGAGCUAUGAAAAUAGAUUCAUGACAAAGUGUAUCAUUAGAAAAUAUCGGAAUAUUGAGAACAAAGAAAAAAAGCCUAGAACUGGAAAGAAAACCUCACAAAGAUCACUUUUUAAAAAACCAGGAGUCAAUCAGAAUGGCUUGAGACUUCUCUACACCAAACAAACAAACAAAGGAAUAGAUUUAAAUUUUUUACGGAAAAAAUAUUUUUUAUCUGGAAUUCUAUUCGAAUCUAAAUUAGUAAUCAAAUGACAGGUAUAAUAAAUACUUUUCAUGAGAUGUAAUAUCUCCAAAAAUUUACCUAGCACGCUAAGUUGUUAUCAAGAUGCUAUGGCAGUAUGUGCCAUACUCAAAGGGGAGAGUAGACUAAGGAGGAGAGCAGAGUUCCAGUGACUGGGAGAUUCCAAGGAAAGCAUCAGUAUGGUGGUGGAAGAAAAAGCCUGGAUGACAGCUUUGUACCCAAAUCAGAGGCAUUCAGUCCGUUUAAAAACUAGUCAGAGCUUUCAGGAGCAAUUUCUCCAAGAAGAUGACUUUGACACAAUACUUAAUAUGUCAGUGUCCUAAAAUAUUUUGGGAUAAAAUGGUGAUAACUUUAUAGAAAAAACUACCCAAUAAAAUAACAACAAUAAGGCCUGCUGUUUCCCAUUCUUCUGUGUCACUGCACACACUGUAUGCCUGUCAGAGUUCCAGUGCACCUAUGACCAAACUUUUAUGGAACGUUUAUCCAAGAACACCAAAGAGGAAAUGCUAUGGGCAGGAAACUACACUUUAUAAUGUAAACAUAGCCCAAGAGACAAAAGAUGGGUUUAGGGGUCUGCAAGCAUUGUGUUUGAUCUGGG